rnacentral:lncRNA from 1 species
GGCAAGGAGUGCAAAAAAGGGGGACGUCUAGCCUGAGUUCAAGCAGUAAGUUCAUUGCUCUGAGGAUGGGGAGAGAUUUUUGGUGGAUGUUCAUCGAUCCCAAGUCAGUCUUCCAGAAAUCACACGUUUAGGGGAAACCAGUCUCAGUCCGAAAGUUCCAUUCUUCUCAGGGUGCAUGCGUGAGAUUCUCCAUUUCAUAUCUUCCGGUUCCAUUUUAGAUUGAAACCCUUUCACAAAUCUUAUUAGAAGAGUCAGUUCCUCGGCGUGCAAGCGGACAGCUGGACGGGGGAGCCCCACGGGUACACACGGUGACAGUAUCAACUGCGAGGAUCUAGGCUGGCGUCUUGCACUGGCGCGGAGGCCUGGGCUGGCUGCAGGUACUCAGGAGAGGCGGCUUGAUCAACUGAGAGCUGACUCCAGGCUGCCAGUGCAGAAGUGAAAAGUCUGCUGCUAGAACUCGUUGCUGGGGAACGAAGGCCACGGUGUGGAUGUGCAAGAUAGGCUGCUCCGACGGUUAUCACUCCAGGGCCCGUCAGAUGUCCCUGCUCAUCCGGAGACUGCUGCACGAUUUAACACCACUGAUGACCAAAGAGUGACCUUGGCCAAAGCGGGAGCAAGUGUCUCAAGAUCUUCGGAGAGCUGUUUAGAUCAGCAAAGAGUCGCUUUGCCCAGACUGAACACUGUUGGAUUCUUAAAGCAAAGUGACGCAACUUAAAUAAAUUCACGUUGAAAGUAAAAGUUAGAAGAGGAGACGUUUUUCAGGAUCUUCGUUCACGUCUAUGAUGCUCAUUGUGACUCUGAUUUCCUGGAGAUAAUAGCCAUGCUCAACAGUGAGUUUAUUUAUUUAUUCAUUUAUUUUAAUGUGAAUUUGAAGCCAAGUA